rnacentral:misc_RNA from 1 species
CACGCAUUCAAGAUGCAGCAAUUUUGCCCUCACAUCGCAGGCGCCGCUCCCACACACUGCCCGAGUCCGUAUCCUCGCACUUCCUGUCAAACUCGCGUGCGUCGAUAAUUCGCUCAUCGCUGUGCACCACCCCUCGGCGCCUGUUUGUGUGUCCGUUUCGUAGGUUGGUUUCGCUCUCUUAUAGAUCAGAAUAUCUCCAUACAAGCCGUCAGAACAACGAAGCCGCCCCCCAUCACUGCCCCCUCUACGUACACCGUUGUUGCCUUUUUUUCGUGGCUGCGGAGUAACCUGUGCAUCUGCGCAGACAUACUCGCCCACCGCACACAGACAUCGACAGACACACGAACCGAAAGAAACGCACGUGCCGAGAAGAGCAGACAGGCGCACGUGCCUUCUGUGAGAAUCUGCCACUGCUCAUCUUCGGUUCCCCUCUCUUUUCCCCUGCAUCGUUCUCUCCACGGGUGUACAUCUGCGCGAUCUCGUCGUUCCUCGAGUCGUAGUGAAGUCUCGUCUCGCCUUCGUCUUGCUCCGCAUAUCGUCGCCUUCCUCCUUUGGCGUUAUUACUGUCCCGCUCGUCAAAUAAGCUCGACAUCUGUCCUCCGUGAUUGUGCGAGUGCCUUUCUCUGUCUUCACUUCCUCGGUGCGUCUGGUGGUGGUUGCGCCUCUUUUUGAGAUUCCUGUAGUUGUCACCUCGUUUCAAAUUGUUUUCAUCUUUUCCAGGUAUAGAUCCUUGUGUGUUUGCACGCCUUCCGUGGUCGCUGUCUUUACUGCGUCGGUUGGUUGCAGACACCUCUUUUCGUCGACUAUAUAUUUCUUUCGCCCUCGUCUUUUACAUCUAUUCCCAUUCGUUCUCUCAUCUCCCUAUAUAUUUGUUUUUCCCACCCGCGGCUCUUCCUCUCCCUCACUCCCUCGGUGCGUGUGGUGGUGGUUGCGCCUCUCUUGUCGAUUCCUGUAGUUGUCACCUCGUUUCAAAUUGUUUUCAUAUUUUGCAGGUAUAGAUCCUUGUGUGUUUGCACGCCUUCCGUGGUUGCUGUCUUUACUGCGUCGGUUGGUUGCAGACACCUCUUUUCGUCGACUAUAUAUUUCUUUCGCCCUCGUCUUUUACAUCUAUUCCCAUUCGUUCUCUCAUCUCCCUAUAUAUUUGUUUUUCCCCCCCGCGGCUCUUCCUCUCCCUCACUCCCUCGGUGCGUGUGGUGGUGGUUUGCCUCUCUUGUCGAUUCCUGUAGUUGUCACCUCGUUUCAAAUUGUUUUCAUCUUUUGCAGGUAUAGAUCCUUGUGUGUUUGCACGCCUUCCGUGGUUGCUGUCGUUACUGCGUCGGUUGGUUGCAGACACCUCUUUUCGUCGACUAUAUAUUUCUUUCGCCCUCGUCUUUUACAUCUAUUCCCAUUCGUUCUCUCAUCUCCCUAUAUAUUUGUUUUUCCCCCCCGCGGCUCUUCCUCUCCCUCACUCCCUCGGUGCGUGUGGUGGUGGUUUGCCUCUCUUGUCGAUUCCUGUAGUUGUCGCCUCGUUUCAAAUUGUUUUCAUCUUUUGCAGGUAUAGAUCCUUGUGUGUUUGCACGCCUUCCGUGGUUGCUGUCGUUACUGCGUCGGUUGGUUGCAGACACCUCUUUUCGUCGACUAUAUAUUUCUUUCGCCCUCGUCUUUUACAUCUAUUCCCAUUCGUUCUCUCAUCUCCCUAUAUAUUUGUUUUUCCCCCCCGCGGCUCUUCCUCUCCCUCACUCCCUCGGUGCGUGUGGUGGUGGUUUGCCUCUCUUGUCGAUUCCUGUAGUUGUCGCCUCGUUUCAAAUUGUUUUUCGAAAAUCAAGCGUGUGUGUUUGCACGCCUUCCGUGGUUGCUGUCGUUACUGCGUCGGUUGGUCGCAGACACCUCUUUUCGUCGACUAUAUAUAUAUUUCUUUCGCCCUCGUCUUUUACAUCUGUUCCCAUUCGUUCUCUCAUCUCCAUAUAUAUUUGUUUUUCCCACCCGCGGCUCUUCCUCUCCCUCACUCCCUCGGUGCGUGUGGUGGUGGUUCGCCUCUUUUUGAGAUUCCUGUAGUUGUCGCCUCGUUUCAAAUUGUUUUUCGAAAAUCAAGCGUGUGUGUUUGCACGCCUUCCGUGGUUGCUGUCGUUACUGCGUCGGUUGGUCGCAGACACCUCUUUCCGUCGACUAUAUAUAUAUUUCUUUCGCCCUCGUCUUGUGCAUUUACGCGAAUUCUCCCCUCCCCUAUAUAUUUGUUUUUCCCACCCGCGGCUCUUCCUCUCCCUCACUCCCUCGGUGCGUGUGGUGGUGGUUGCGCCUCUUUUUGAGAUUCCUGUAGUUGUCACCUCGUUUCAAAUUGUUUUUCGAAAAUCAAGCGUGUGUGUUUGCACGCCUUCCGUGGUUGCUGUCGUUACUGCGUCGGUUGGUCGCAGACACCUCUUUUCGUCGACUAUAUAUUUCUUUCGCCCUCGUCUUUUGCAUUUACGCGAAUUCUCCCCUCCCCUAUAUAUUUGUUUUUCCCACCCGCGGCUCUUCCUCUCCCUCACUCCCUCGGUGCGUGUGGUGGUGGUUUGCCUCUCUUGUCGAUUCCUGUAGUUGUCACCUCGUUUCAAAUUGUUUUCAUCUUUUGCAGGUAUAGAUCCUUGUGUGUUUGCACGCCUUCCGUGGUUGCUGUCGUUACUGCGUCGGUUGGUUGCAGACACCUCUUUUCGUCGACUAUAUAUUUCUUUCGCCCUCGUCUUUUACAUCUAUUCCCAUUCGUUCUCUCAUCUCCCUAUAUAUUUGUUUUUCCCCCCGCGGCUCUUCCUCUCCCUCACUCCCUCGGUGCGUGUGGUGGUGGUUUGCCUCUCUUGUCGAUUCCUGUAGUUGUCGCCUCGUUUCAAAUUGUUUUCAUCUUUUGCAGGUAUAGAUCCUUGUGUGUUUGCACGCCUUCCGUGGUUGCUGUCGUUACUGCGUCGGUUGGUUGCAGACACCUCUUUUCGUCGACUAUAUAUUUCUUUCGCCCUCGUCUUUUGCAUCUACUCCCAUUCGUUCUCUCAUCUCCCUAUAUAUUUGUUUUUCCCACCCGCGGCUCUUCCUCUCCCUCACUCCCUCGGUGCGUGUGGUGGUGGUUGCGCCUCUCUUGUCGAUUCCUGUAGUUGUCGCCUCGUUUCAAAUUGUUUUCAUCUUUUGCAGGUAUAGAUCCUUGUGUGUUUGCACGCCUUCCGUGGUUGCUGUCGUUACUGCGUCGGUUGGUUGCAGACACCUCUUUUCGUCGACUAUAUAUUUCUUUCGCCCUCGUCUUUUACAUCUACUCCCAUUCGUUCUCUCAUCUCCCUAUAUAUUUGUUUUUCCCACCCGCGGCUCUUCCUCUCCCUCACUCCCUCGGUGCGUGUGGUGGUGGUUGCGCCUCUCUUGUCGAUUCCUGUAGUUGUCGCCUCGUUUCAAAUUGUUUUCAUCUUUUGCAGGUAUAGAUCCUUGUGUGUUUGCACGCCUUCCGUGGUUGCUGUCGUUACUGCGUCGGUUGGUUGCAGACACCUCUUUUCGUCGACUAUAUAUUUCUUUCGCCCUCGUCUUUUACAUCUACUCCCAUUCGUUCUCUCAUCUCCCUAUAUAUUUGUUUUUCCCCCCCGCGGCUCUUCCUCUCCCUCACUCCCUCGGUGCGUGUGGUGGUGGUUUGCCUCUCUUGUCGAUUCCUGUAGUUGUCGCCUCGUUUCAAAUUGUUUUUCGAAAAUCAAGCGUGUGUGUUUGCACGCCUUCCGUGGUUGCUGUCGUUACUGCGUCGGUUGGUCGCAGACACCUCUUUUCGUCGACUAUAUAUAUAUUUCUUUCGCCCUCGUCUUUUACAUCUGUUCCCAUUCGUUCUCUCAUCUCCAUAUAUAUUUGUUUUUCCCACCCGCGGCUCUUCCUCUCCCUCACUCCCUCGGUGCGUGUGGUGGUGGUUCGCCUCUUUUUGAGAUUCCUGUAGUUGUCGCCUCGUUUCAAAUUGUUUUUCGAAAAUCAAGCGUGUGUGUUUGCACGCCUUCCGUGGUUGCUGUCGUUACUGCGUCGGUUGGUCGCAGACACCUCUUUCCGUCGACUAUAUAUAUAUUUCUUUCGCCCUCGUCUUGUGCAUUUACGCGAAUUCUCCCCUCCCCUAUAUAUUUGUUUUUCCCACCCGCGGCUCUUCCUCUCCCUCACUCCCUCGGUGCGUGUGGUGGUGGUUGCGCCUCUUUUUGAGAUUCCUGUAGUUGUCACCUCGUUUCAAAUUGUUUUUCGAAAAUCAAGCGUGUGUGUUUGCACGCCUUCCGUGGUUGCUGUCGUUACUGCGUCGGUUGGUCGCAGACACCUCUUUUCGUCGACUAUAUAUUUCUUUCGCCCUCGUCUUUUGCAUUUACGCGAAUUCUCCCCUCCCCUAUAUAUUUGUUUUUCCCACCCGCGGCUCUUCCUCUCCCUCACUCCCUCGGUGCGUGUGGUGGUGGUUGCGCCUCUCUUGUCGAUUCCUGUAGUUGUCACCUCGUUUCAAAUUGUUUUCAUAUUUUGCAGGUAUAGAUCCUUGUGUGUUUGCACGCCUUCCGUGGUUGCUGUCUUUACUGCGUCGGUUGGUUGCAGACACCUCUUUUCGUCGACUAUAUAUUUCUUUCGCCCUCGUCUUUUACAUCUAUUCCCAUUCGUUCUCUCAUCUCCCUAUAUAUUUGUUUUUCCCCCCCGCGGCUCUUCCUCUCCCUCACUCCCUCGGUGCGUGUGGUGGUGGUUUGCCUCUCUUGUCGAUUCCUGUAGUUGUCGCCUCGUUUCAAAUUGUUUUCAUCUUUUGCAGGUAUAGAUCCUUGUGUGUUUGCACGCCUUCCGUGGUUGCUGUCGUUACUGCGUCGGUUGGUUGCAGACACCUCUUUUCGUCGACUAUAUAUUUCUUUCGCCCUCGUCUUUUGCAUCUACUCCAUUCGUUCUCUCAUCUCCCUAUAUAUUUGUUUUUCCCACCCGCGGCUCUUCCUCUCCCUCACUCCCUCGGUGCGUGUGGUGGUGGUUGCGCCUCUCUUGUCGAUUCCUGUAGUUGUCACCUCGUUUCAAAUUGUUUUCAUCUUUUGCAGGUAUAGAUCCUUGUGUGUUUGCACGCCUUCCGUGGUUGCUGUCGUUACUGCGUCGGUUGGUUGCAGACACCUCUUUUCGUCGACUAUAUAUUUCUUUCGCCCUCGUCUUUUACAUCUAUUCCCAUUCGUUCUCUCAUCUCCCUAUAUAUUUGUUUUUCCCCCCCGCGGCUCUUCCUCUCCCUCACUCCCUCGGUGCGUGUGGUGGUGGUUUGCCUCUCUUGUCGAUUCCUGUAGUUGUCGCCUCGUUUCAAAUUGUUUUUCGAAAAUCAGCGUGUGUGUUUGCACGCCUUCCGUGGUUGCUGUCGUUACUGCGUCGGUUGGUCGCAGACACCUCUUUUCGUCGACUAUAUAUAUUUCUUUCGCCCUCGUCUUUUACAUCUGUUCCCAUUCGUUCUCUCAUCUCCAUAUAUAUUUGUUUUUCCCACCCGCGGCUCUUCCUCUCCCUCACUCCCUCGGUGCGUGUGGUGGUGGUUCGCCUCUUUUGAGAUUCCUGUAGUUGUCGCCUCGUUUCAAAUUGUUUUUCGAAAAUCAAGCGUGUGUGUUUGCACGCCUUCCGUGGUUGCUGUCGUUACUGCGUCGGUUGGUCGCAGACACCUCUUUCGUCGACUAUAUAUAUAUUUCUUUCGCCCUCGUCUUUUGCAUUUACGCGAUUCUCCCUCCCUAUAUAUUUGUUUUUCCCACCCGCGGCUCUUCCUCUCCCUCACUCCCUCGGUGCGUGUGGUGGUGGUUGCGCCUCUUUUUGAGAUUCCUGUAGUUGUCGCCUCGUUUCAAAUUGUUUUUCGAAAAUCAAGCGUGUGUGUUUGCACGCCUUCCGUGGUUGCUGUCGUUACUGCGUCGGUUGGUCGCAGACACCUCUUUUCGUCGACUAUAUAUUUCUUUCGCCCUCGUCUUUUCAUUUACCAUUCUCCCUCCCCUAUAUAUUUGUUUUUCCCCCCGCGGCUCUUCCUCUCCCUCACUCCCUCGGUGCGUGUGGUGGUGGUUGCCUCUCUUGUCGAUUCCUGUAGUUGUCGCCUCGUUUCAAAUUGUUUUCAUUUUUGCAGGUAUAGAUCCUUGUGUGUUUGCACGCCUUCCGUGGUUGCUGUCGUUACUGCGUCGGUUGGUUGCAGACACCUCUUUUCGUCGACUAUAUAUUUCUUUCGCCCUCGUCUUUUGCAUCUAUCCCAUUCGUUCUCUCAUCUCCCUAUAUAUUUGUUUUUCCCACCCGCGGCUCUUCCUCUCCCUCACUCCCUCGGUGCGUGUGGUGGUGGUUGCGCCUCUCUUGUCGAUUCCUGUAGUUGUCACCUCGUUUCAAAUUGUUUUCAUCUUUUGCAGGUAUAGAUCCUUGUGUGUUUGCACGCCUUCCGUGGUUGCUGUCGUUACUGCGUCGGUUGGUUGCAGACACCUCUUUUCGUCGACUAUAUAUUUCUUUCGCCCUCGUCUUUUACAUCUAUUCCCAUUCGUUCUCUCAUCUCCCUAUAUAUUUGUUUUUCCCCCCGCGGCUCUUCCUCUCCCUCACUCCCUCGGUGCGUGUGGUGGUGGUUGCCUCUCUUGUCGAUUCCUGUAGUUGUCGCCUCGUUUCAAAUUGUUUUUCGAAAAUCAAGCGUGUGUGUUUGCACGCCUUCCGUGGUUGCUGUCGUUACUGCGUCGGUUGGUCGCAGACACCUCUUUUCGUCGACUAUAUAUAUUUCUUUCGCCCUCGUCUUUUACAUCUUUCCCAUUCGUUCUCUCAUCUCCAUAUAUAUUUGUUUUUCCCACCCGCGGCUCUUCCUCUCCCUCACUCCCUCGGUGCGUGUGGUGGUGGUUGCGCCUCUUUUGAGAUUCCUGUAGUUGUCGCCUCGUUUCAAAUUGUUUUUCGAAAAUCAAGCGUGUGUGUUUGCACGCCUUCCGUGGUUGCUGUCGUUACUGCGUCGGUUGGUCGCAGACACCUCUUUCCGUCGACUAUAUAUAUAUUUCUUUCGCCCUCGUCUUGUGCAUUUACGCGAAUUCUCCCUCCCCUAUAUAUUUGUUUUUCCCACCCGCGGCUCUUCCUCUCCCUCACUCCCUCGGUGCGUGUGGUGGUGGUUGCGCCUCUUUUGAGAUUCCUGUAGUUGUCGCCUCGUUUCAAAUUGUUUUUCGAAAAUCAAGCGUGUGUGUUUGCACGCCUUCCGUGGUUGCUGUCGUUACUGCGUCGGUUGGUCGCAGACACCUCUUUUCGUCGACUAUAUAUUUCUUUCGCCCUCGUCUUUUGCAUUUACGCGAAUUCUCCCCUCCCCUAUAUAUUUGUUUUUCCCACCCGCGGCUCUUCCUCUCCCUCACUCCCUCGGUGCGUGUGGUGGUGGUUCGCCUCUCUUGUCGAUUCCUGUAGUUGUCGCCUCGUUUCAAAUUGUUUUUCGAAAAUCAAGCGUGUGUGUUUGCACGCCUUCCGUGGUUGCUGUCGUUACUGCGUCGGUUGGUCGCAGACACCUCUUUUCGUCGACUAUAUAUUUCUUUCGCCCUCGUCUUUUGCAUUUACGCGAUUCUCCCUCCCCUAUAUAUUUGUUUUUCCCACCCGCGGCUCUUCCUCUCCCUCACUCCCUCGGUGCGUGUGGUGGUGGUUGCGCCUCUCUUGUCGAUUCCUGUAGUUGUCACCUCGUUUCAAAUUGUUUUCAUCUUUUGCAGGUAUAGAUCCUUGUGUGUUUGCACGCCUUCCGUGGUUGCUGUCGUUACUGCGUCGGUUGGUUGCAGACACCUCUUUUCGUCGACUAUAUAUUUCUUUCGCCCUCGUCUUUUGCAUCUACUCCCAUUCGUUCUCUCAUCUCCCUAUAUAUUUGUUUUUCCCACCCGCGGCUCUUCCUCUCCCUCACUCCCUCGGUGCGUGUGGUGGUGGUUGCGCCUCUUUUGAGAUUCCUGUAGUUGUCGCCUCGUUUCAAAUUGUUUUUCGAAAAUCAAGCGUGUGUGUUUGCACGCCUUCCGUGGUUGCUGUCGUUACUGCGUCGGUUGGUCGCAGACACCUCUUUCCGUCGACUAUAUAUAUUUCUUUCGCCCUCGUCUUGUGCAUUUACGCGAUUCUCCCCUCCCUAUAUAUUUGUUUUUCCCACCCGCGGCUCUUCCUCUCCCUCACUCCCUCGGUGCGUGUGGUGGUGGUUGCGCCUCUUUUUGAGAUUCCUGUAGUUGUCGCCUCGUUUCAAAUUGUUUUUCGAAAAUCAAGCGUGUGUGUUUGCACGCCUUCCGUGGUUGCUGUCGUUACUGCGUCGGUUGGUCGCAGACACCUCUUUUCGUCGACUAUAUAUUUCUUUCGCCCUCGUCUUUUGCAUUUACGCGAAUUCUCCCUCCCCUAUAUAUUUGUUUUUCCCACCCGCGGCUCUUCCUCUCCCUCACUCCCUCGGUGCGUGUGGUGGUGGUUGCGCCUCUCUUGUCGAUUCCUGUAGUUGUCACCUCGUUUCAAAUUGUUUUCAUCUUUUGCAGGUAUAGAUCCUUGUGUGUUUGCACGCCUUCCGUGGUUGCUGUCGUUACUGCGUCGGUUGGUUGCAGACACCUCUUUUCGUCGACUAUAUAUUUCUUUCGCCCUCGUCUUUUGCAUCUACUCCCAUUCGUUCUCUCAUCUCCCUAUAUAUUUGUUUUUCCCACCCGCGGCUCUUCCUCUCCCUCACUCCCUCGGUGCGUGUGGUGGUGGUUGCGCCUCUCUUGUCGAUUCCUGUAGUUGUCGCCUCGUUUCAAAUUGUUUUCAUCUUUUGCAGGUAUAGAUCCUUGUGUGUUUGCACGCCUUCCGUGGUUGCUGUCGUUACUGCGUCGGUUGGUUGCAGACACCUCUUUUCGUCGACUAUAUAUUUCUUUCGCCCUCGUCUUUUGCAUCUACUCCCAUUCGUUCUCUCAUCUCCCUAUAUAUUUGUUUUUCCCACCCGCGGCUCUUCCUCUCCCUCACUCCCUCGGUGCGUGUGGUGGUGGUUGCGCCUCUCUUGUCGAUUCCUGUAGUUGUCACCUCGUUUCAAAUUGUUUUCAUCUUUUGCAGGUAUAGAUCCUUGUGUGUUUGCACGCCUUCCGUGGUUGCUGUCGUUACUGCGUCGGUUGGUUGCAGACACCUCUUUUCGUCGACUAUAUAUUUCUUUCGCCCUCGUCUUUUACAUCUAUUCCCAUUCGUUCUCUCAUCUCCCUAUAUAUUUGUUUUUCCCCCCCGCGGCUCUUCCUCUCCCUCACUCCCUCGGUGCGUGUGGUGGUGGUUUGCCUCUCUUGUCGAUUCCUGUAGUUGUCGCCUCGUUUCAAAUUGUUUUUCGAAAAUCAAGCGUGUGUGUUUGCACGCCUUCCGUGGUUGCUGUCGUUACUGCGUCGGUUGGUCGCAGACACCUCUUUUCGUCGACUAUAUAUAUAUUUCUUUCGCCCUCGUCUUUUACAUCUGUUCCCAUUCGUUCUCUCAUCUCCAUAUAUAUUUGUUUUUCCCACCCGCGGCUCUUCCUCUCCCUCACUCCCUCGGUGCGUGUGGUGGUGGUUCGCCUCUUUUUGAGAUUCCUGUAGUUGUCGCCUCGUUUCAAAUUGUUUUUCGAAAAUCAAGCGUGUGUGUUUGCACGCCUUCCGUGGUUGCUGUCGUUACUGCGUCGGUUGGUCGCAGACACCUCUUUCCGUCGACUAUAUAUAUAUUUCUUUCGCCCUCGUCUUGUGCAUUUACGCGAAUUCUCCCCUCCCCUAUAUAUUUGUUUUUCCCACCCGCGGCUCUUCCUCUCCCUCACUCCCUCGGUGCGUGUGGUGGUGGUUGCGCCUCUUUUUGAGAUUCCUGUAGUUGUCACCUCGUUUCAAAUUGUUUUUCGAAAAUCAAGCGUGUGUGUUUGCACGCCUUCCGUGGUUGCUGUCGUUACUGCGUCGGUUGGUCGCAGACACCUCUUUUCGUCGACUAUAUAUUUCUUUCGCCCUCGUCUUUUGCAUUUACGCGAAUUCUCCCCUCCCCUAUAUAUUUGUUUUUCCCACCCGCGGCUCUUCCUCUCCCUCACUCCCUCGGUGCGUGUGGUGGUGGUUUGCCUCUCUUGUCGAUUCCUGUAGUUGUCGCCUCGUUUCAAAUUGUUUUCAUCUUUUGCAGGUAUAGAUCCUUGUGUGUUUGCACGCCUUCCGUGGUUGCUGUCGUUACUGCGUCGGUUGGUUGCAGACACCUCUUUUCGUCGACUAUAUAUUUCUUUCGCCCUCGUCUUUUGCAUCUACUCCCAUUCGUUCUCUCAUCUCCCUAUAUAUUUGUUUUUCCCACCCGCGGCUCUUCCUCUCCCUCACUCCCUCGGUGCGUGUGGUGGUGGUUGCGCCUCUCUUGUCGAUUCCUGUAGUUGUCACCUCGUUUCAAAUUGUUUUCAUCUUUUGCAGGUAUAGAUCCUUGUGUGUUUGCACGCCUUCCGUGGUUGCUGUCGUUACUGCGUCGGUUGGUUGCAGACACCUCUUUUCGUCGACUAUAUAUUUCUUUCGCCCUCGUCUUUUACAUCUACUCCCAUUCGUUCUCUCAUCUCCCUAUAUAUUUGUUUUUCCCCCCGCGGCUCUUCCUCUCCCUCACUCCCUCGGUGCGUGUGGUGGUGGUUUGCCUCUCUUGUCGAUUCCUGUAGUUGUCGCCUCGUUUCAAAUUGUUUUUCGAAAAUCAAGCGUGUGUGUUUGCACGCCUUCCGUGGUUGCUGUCGUUACUGCGUCGGUUGGUCGCAGACACCUCUUUUCGUCGACUAUAUAUAUAUUUCUUUCGCCCUCGUCUUUUACAUCUGUUCCCAUUCGUUCUCUCAUCUCCCUAUAUAUUUGUUUUUCCCACCCGCGGCUCUUCCUCUCCCUCACUCCCUCGGUGCGUGUGGUGGUGGUUCGCCUCUUUUUGAGAUUCCUGUAGUUGUCGCCUCGUUUCAAAUUGUUUUUCGAAAAUCAAGCGUGUGUGUUUGCACGCCUUCCGUGGUUGCUGUCGUUACUGCGUCGGUUGGUCGCAGACACCUCUUUCCGUCGACUAUAUAUAUAUUUCUUUCGCCCUCGUCUUGUGCAUUUACGCGAAUUCUCCCCUCCCCUAUAUAUUUGUUUUUCCCACCCGCGGCUCUUCCUCUCCCUCACUCCCUCGGUGCGUGUGGUGGUGGUUGCGCCUCUUUUUGAGAUUCCUGUAGUUGUCACCUCGUUUCAAAUUGUUUUUCGAAAAUCAAGCGUGUGUGUUUGCACGCCUUCCGUGGUUGCUGUCGUUACUGCGUCGGUUGGUCGCAGACACCUCUUUUCGUCGACUAUAUAUUUCUUUCGCCCUCGUCUUUUGCAUUUACGCGAAUUCUCCCCUCCCCUAUAUAUUUGUUUUUCCCACCCGCGGCUCUUCCUCUCCCUCACUCCCUCGGUGCGUGUGGUGGUGGUUGCGCCUCUUUUGAGAUUCUUGUAGUUGUCACCUCGUUUCAAAUUGUUUUUCGAAAAUCAAGCGUGUGUGUUUGCACGCCUUCCGUGGUUGCUGUCGUUACUGCGUCGGUUGGUCGCAGACACAUCUUUUCGUCGACUAUAUAUAUAUUUCUUUCGCCCUCGUCUUUUGCAUUUACGCGAAUUCUCCCCUCCCCUAUAUAUUUGUUUUUCCCACCCGCGGCUCUUCCUCUCCCUCACUCCCUCGGUGCGUGUGGUGGUGGUUGCGCCUCUUUUUGAGAUUCUUGUAGUUGUCACCUCGUUUCAAAUUGUUUUUCGAAAAUCAAGCGUGUGUGCUUGCACGCCUUCCGUGGUUGCUGUCGUUACUGCGUCGGUUGGUCGCAGACACCUCUUUUCGUCGACUAUAUAUUUCUUUCGCCCUCGUCUUUUGCAUUUACGCGAAUUCUCCCCUCCCCUAUAUAUUUGUUUUUCCCACCCGCGGCUCUUCCUCUCCCUCACUCCCUCGGUGCGUGUGGUGGUGGUUGCGCCUCUUUUGAGAUUCCUGUAGUUGUCGCCUCGUUUCAAAUUGUUUUUCGAAAAUCAAGCGUGUGUGUUUGCACGCCUUCCGUGGUUGCUGUCGUUACUGCGUCGGUUGGUCGCAGACACCUCUUUUCGUCGACUAUAUAUAUAUUUCUUUCGCCCUCGUCUUUUGCAUUUACGCGAAUUCUCCCCUCCCCUAUAUAUUUGUUUUUCCCACCCGCGGCUCUUCCUCUCCCUCACUCCCUCGGUGCGUGUGGUGGUGGUUGCGCCUCUUUUUGAGAUUCCUGUAGUUGUCACCUCGUUUCAAAUUGUUUUUCGAAAAUCAAGCGUGUGUGCUUGCACGCCUUCCGUGGUUGCUGUCGUUACUGCGUCGGUUGGUCGCAGACACCUCUUUUCGUCGACUAUAUAUAUAUUUCUUUCGCCCUCGUCUUUUGCAUUUACGCGAAUUCUCCCCUCCCCUAUAUAUUUGUUUUUCCCACCCGCGGCUCUUCCUCUCCCUCACUCCCUCGGUGCGUGUGGUGGUGGUUGCGCCUCUUUUGAGAUUCUGUAGUUGUCACCUCGUUUCAAAUUGUUUUUCGAAAAUCAAGCGUGUGUGCUUGCACGCCUUCCGUGGUUGCUGUCGUUACUGCGUCGGUUGGUCGCAGACACCUCUUUUCGUCGACUAUAUAUAUAUUUCUUUCGCCCUCGUCUUUUGCAUUUACGCGAAUUCUCCCCUCCCCUAUAUAUUUGUUUUUCCCACCCGCGGCUCUUCCUCUCCCUCACUCCCUCGGUGCGUGUGGUGGUGGUUCGCCUCUCUUGUCGAUUCCUGUAGUUGUCACCUCGUUUCAAAUUGUUUUUCGAAAAUCAAGCGUGUGUGUUUGCACGCCUUCCGUGGUUGCUGUCGUUACUGCGUCGGUUGGUCGCAGACACCUCUUUUCGUCGACUAUAUAUAUUUCUUUCGCCCUCGUCUUUUGCAUUUACGCGAAUUCUCCCCUCCCCUAUAUAUUUGUUUUUCCCACCCGCGGCUCUUCCUCUCCCUCACUCCCUCGGUGCGUGUGGUGGUGGUUGCGCCUCUUUUUGAGAUUCCUGUAGUUGUCACCUCGUUUCAAAUUGUUUUUCGAAAAUCAAGCGUGUGUGCUUGCACGCCUUCCGUGGUUGCUGUCGUUACUGCGUCGGUUGGUCGCAGACACCUCUUUUCGUCGACUAUAUAUUUCUUUCGCCCUCGUCUUUUGCAUUUACGCGAAUUCUCCCCUCCCCUAUAUAUUUGUUUUUCCCACCCGCGGCUCUUCCUCUCCCUCACUCCCUCGGUGCGUGUGGUGGUGGUUGCGCCUCUUUUUGAGAUUCCUGUAGUUGUCACCUCGUUUCAAAUUGUUUUUCGAAAAUCAAGCGUGUGUGUUUGCACGCCUUCCGUGGUUGCUGUCGUUACUGCGUCGGUUGGUCGCAGACACCUCUUUUCGUCGACUAUAUAUUUCUUUCGCCCUCGUCUUUUGCAUUUACGCGAAUUCUCCCUCCCCUAUAUAUUUGUUUUUCCCACCCGCGGCUCUUCCUCUCCCUCACUCCCUCGGUGCGUGUGGUGGUGGUUGCGCCUCUCUUGUCGAUUCCUGUAGUUGUCACCUCGUUUCAAAUUGUUUUUCGAAAAUCAAGCGUGUGUGCUUGCACGCCUUCCGUGGUUGCUGUCGUUACUGCGUCGGUUGGUCGCAGACACCUCUUUUCGUCGACUAUAUAUUUCUUUCGCCCUCGUCUUUUGCAUUUACGCGAAUUCUCCCCUCCCCUAUAUAUUUGUUUUUCCCACCCGCGGCUCUUCCUCUCCCUCACUCCCUCGGUGCGUGUGGUGGUGGUUCGCCUCUCUUGUCGAUUCCUGUAGUUGUCACCUCGUUUCAAAUUGUUUUUCGAAAAUCAAGCGUGUGUGUUGCACGCCUUCCGUGGUUGCUGUCGUUACUGCGUCGGUUGGUCGCAGACACCUCUUUUCGUCGACUAUAUAUUUCUUUCGCCCUCGUCUUUUGCAUUUACGCGAAUUCUCCCCUCCCCUAUAUAUUUGUUUUUCCCACCCGCGGCUCUUCCUCUCCCUCACUCCCUCGGUGCGUGUGGUGGUGGUUGCGCCUCUUUUGAGAUUCCUGUAGUUGUCACCUCGUUUCAAAUUGUUUUUCGAAAAUCAAGCGUGUGUGCUUGCACGCCUUCCGUGGUUGCUGUCGUUACUGCGUCGGUUGGUCGCAGACACCUCUUUUCGUCGACUAUAUAUUUCUUUCGCCCUCGUCUUUUGCAUUUACGCGAAUUCUCCCCUCCCCUAUAUAUUUGUUUUUCCCACCCGCGGCUCUUCCUCUCCCUCACUCCCUCGGUGCGUGUGGUGGUGGUUCGCCUCUCUUGUCGAUUCCUGUAGUUGUCACCUCGUUUCAAAUUGUUUUUCGAAAAUCAAGCGUGUGUGCUUGCACGCCUUCCGUGGUUGCUGUCGUUACUGCGUCGGUUGGUCGCAGACACCUCUUUUCGUCGACUAUAUAUUUCUUUCGCCCUCGUCUUUUGCAUUUACGCGAAUUCUCCCCUCCCCUAUAUAUUUGUUUUUCCCACCCGCGGCUCUUCCUCUCCCUCACUCCCUCGGUGCGUGUGGUGGUGGUUGCGCCUCUCUUGUCGAUUCCUGUAGUUGUCACCUCGUUUCAAAUUGUUUUUCGAAAAUCAAGCGUGUGUGUUUGCACGCCUUCCGUGGUUGCUGUCGUUACUGCGUCGGUUGGUCGCAGACACCUCUUUUCGUCGACUAUAUAUUUCUUUCGCCCUCGUCUUUUGCAUUUACGCGAAUUCUCCCCUCCCCUAUAUAUUUGUUUUUCCCACCCGCGGCUCUUCCUCUCCCUCACUCCCUCGGUGCGUGUGGUGGUGGUUGCGCCUCUCUUGUCGAUUCCUGUAGUUGUCACCUCGUUUCAAAUUGUUUUUCGAAAAUCAAGCGUGUGUGUUGCACGCCUUCCGUGGUUGCUGUCGUUACUGCGUCGGUUGGUCGCAGACACCUCUUUUCGUCGACUAUAUAUUUCUUUCGCCCUCGUCUUUUGCAUUUACGCGAAUUCUCCCCUCCCCUAUAUAUUUGUUUUUCCCACCCGCGGCUCUUCCUCUCCCUCACUCCCUCGGUGCGUGUGGUGGUGGUUGCGCCUCUUUUUGAGAUUCCUGUAGUUGUCACCUCGUUUCAAAUUGUUUUUCGAAAAUCAAGCGUGUGUGUUUGCACGCCUUCCGUGGUUGCUGUCGUUACUGCGUCGGUUGGUCGCAGACACCUCUUUUCGUCGACUAUAUAUAUUUCUUUCGCCCUCGUCUUUUGCAUUUACGCGAAUUCUCCCCUCCCCUAUAUAUUUGUUUUUCCCACCCGCGGCUCUUCCUCUCCCUCACUCCCUCGGUGCGUGUGGUGGUGGUUGCGCCUCUUUUGAGAUUCUGUAGUUGUCACCUCGUUUCAAAUUGUUUUUCGAAAAUCAAGCGUGUGUGUUUGCACGCCUUCCGUGGUUGCUGUCGUUACUGCGUCGGUUGGUCGCAGACACCUCUUUUCGUCGACUAUAUAUUUUUCUUUCGCCCUCGUCUUUUGCAUUUCCGAUUCUCCCUCCCCUAUAUAUUUGUUUUUCCCACCCGCGGCUCUUCCUCUCCCUCACUCCCUCGGUGCGUGUGGUGGUGGUUCGCCUCUCUUGUCGAUUCCUGUAGUUGUCGCCUCGUUUCAAAUUGUUUUUCGAAAAUCAAGCGUGUGUGUUUGCACGCCUUCCGUGGUUGCUGUCGUUACUGCGUCGGUUGGUCGCAGACACAUCUUUUCGUCGACUAUAUAUAUUUCUUUCGCCCUCGUCUUUUGCAUUUACGCGAAUUCUCCCCUCCCCUAUAUAUUUGUUUUUCCCACCCGCGGCUCUUCCUCUCCCUCACUCCCUCGGUGCGUGUGGUGGUGGUUGCGCCUCUUUUUGAGAUUCCUGUAGUUGUCACCUCGUUUCAAAUUGUUUUUCGAAAAUCAAGCGUGUGUGUUUGCACGCCUUCCGUGGUUGCUGUCGUUACUGCGUCGGUUGGUCGCAGACACCUCUUUUCGUCGACUAUAUAUUUCUUUCGCCCUCGUCUUUUGCAUUUACGCGAAUUCUCCCCUCCCCUAUAUAUUUGUUUUUCCCACCCGCGGCUCUUCCUCUCCCUCACUCCCUCGGUGCGUGUGGUGGUGGUUGCGCCUCUUUUUGAGAUUCCUGUAGUUGUCGCCUCGUUUCAAAUUGUUUUUUCGAAAAUCAAGCGUGUGUGUUUGCACGCCUUCCGUGGUUGCUGUCGUUACUGCGUCGGUUGGUCGCAGACACAUCUUUUCGUCGACUAUAUAUAUAUUUCUUUCGCCCUCGUCUUUUGCAUUUACGCGAAUUCUCCCCUCCCCUAUAUAUUUGUUUUUCCCACCCGCGGCUCUUCCUCUCCCUCACUCCCUCGGUGCGUGUGGUGGUGGUUCGCCUCUUUGUGAUUCUGUAGUUGUCACCUCGUUUCAAAUUGUUUUUCGAAAAUCAAGCGUGUGUGUUUGCACGCCUUCCGUGGUUGCUGUCGUUACUGCGUCGGUUGGUUGCAGACACCUCUUUCCGUCGACUAUAUAUAUAUUUCUUUCGCCCUCGUCUUUUGCAUUUACGCGAAUUCUCCCCUCCCCUAUAUAUUUGUUUUUCCCACCCGCGGCUCUUCCUCUCCCUCACUCCCUCGGUGCGUGUGGUGGUGGUUGCGCCUCUUUUGAGAUUCUUGUAGUUGUCACCUCGUUUCAAAUUGUUUUUCGAAAAUCAAGCGUGUGUGUUUGCACGCCUUCCGUGGUUGCUGUCGUUACUGCGUCGGUUGGUCGCAGACACAUCUUUUCGUCGACUAUAUAUUUCUUUCGCCCUCGUCUUUUGCAUUUACGCGAAUUCUCCCCUCCCCUAUAUAUUUGUUUUUCCCACCCGCGGCUCUUCCUCUCCCUCACUCCCUCGGUGCGUGUGGUGGUGGUUGCGCCUCUUUUUGAGAUUCUUGUAGUUGUCACCUCGUUUCAAAUUGUUUUUCGAAAAUCAAGCGUGUGUGUUUGCACGCCUUCCGUGGUUGCUGUCGUUACUGCGUCGGUUGGUUGCAGACACCUCUUUCCGUCGACUAUAUAUAUAUUUCUUUCGCCCUCGUCUUGUGCAUUUACGCUCAUUCUCUCAUAUCCCUUUUUUUGGUCAGAUCGGAGCCUGACGCUGUCUCGCGAUGCGCUCUUGGCGGUGUGCUCUGUCGGGUCUGCCGUCUCCGUUGCUCUUUUUUUGGCGUCGCAGACGCUUAUGGUGUUGCUACCUCUUUCUGUAAAGUGCAGAAUCUCGGCGUCCUUCGAGAGCGACAGAUGAGGAAUGAUGUGUGUGUGUUGUCGACGUGGAUGUUCUGUAUUUAACGAGCUAUCAGGUUUUUUUUUUUCGGCCGCGUGUGUUUUAGAGCUAUAUGUUUCCUCUCUCUUUCUAUAAAGCGCUGUGGGUCGGAGAUCGAUAUGCGGGUUGGGAAACUGUAUAAGUGUGUGCUUAAGUGUAUAUUUGUGGGUGGGUCCGACGGAUUUGGUUCUUCCUAUUUUCCUGGGGACGUUGGUUGCUCUACGUAUGGUUUGGUGGCGUGGCGCUAGGGGUGUGUGGCGCUGUGGAUGUUGAAUGCUGGGGGCGCGUGCUCAGGCGUGCGCGUGCGUGGUGAAGUGAAGAGGUGGAAUUGUGUGGCAGAGGAGGUGUGCUUCGGCUGGUUGUCGCGCAUAGCAGCUUGUAUGGGAGAGCAGCAAGAACUGUUGCGUGCCUGAAAACAAAAUGAACAGAAAGGCUGUCGGCGGGCUUCUCUUUGGCUUUUUGAGUCUCAAUCGAUGAGAGUGAAGUGGGACGCUGCGCAUGCGACUGCUGACAAGGGAGUGACCCAGGCCUCGUCAGCCGCUCUCUCCCCUUUUCUCUCCCUGCCUCGGAAGUGUCCAGCGCCGGUGAUGUCGUACAUGUCUGAAGAGGGUUUCCUCUCCAUGGCUCCUCGAGGCGCCCAUACAUGUCGACAUGUGGACAAAUGCACAGCGAUACACAUACGCCUCCUUCCCUCAACCCCGAGUGCGCUCCCACCGGUCACCAGCGGUGCUUCACACAG